rnacentral:rRNA from 1 species
UACGUAGGGUGCAAGCGUUGUCCGGAAUUAUUGGGCGUAAAGAGCUCGUAGGCGGCUUGUCGCGUCGGCUGUGAAAUCCCGUGGCUCAACUGUGGGCGGGCAGCUGAUACGGGCAGGCUGGAGUUCGGUAGGGGAGACUGGAAUUCCUGUGUAGCGGUGAAAUGCGCAGAUAUCAGGAGGAACACCGAUGGCGAAGGCAGGUCUCUGGGCAUUAACUGACGCUGAGGAGCGAAAGCAUGGGGAGCAAACAGG